rnacentral:rRNA from 1 species
GUCGAACGGUAACAGGAAGAAGCUUGCUUCUUUGCUGACGAGUGGCGGACGGGUGAGUAAUGUCUGGGAAACUGCCUGAUGGAGGGGGAUAACUACUGGAAACGGUAGCUAAUACCGCAUAACGUCGCAAGACCAAAGAGGGGGACCUUCGGGCCUCUUGCCAUCGGAUGUGCCCAGAUGGGAUUAGCUAGUAGGUGGGGUAACGGCUCACCUAGGCGACGAUCCCUAGCUGGUCUGAGAGGAUGACCAGCCACACUGGAACUGAGACACGGUCCAGACUCCUACGGGAGGCAGCAGUGGGGAAUAUUGCACAAUGGGCGCAAGCCUGAUGCAGCCAUGCCGCGUGUAUGAAGAAGGCCUUCGGGUUGUAAAGUACUUUCAGCGGGGAGGAAGGGAGUAAAGUUAAUACCUUUGCUCAUUGACGUUACCCGCAGAAGAAGCACCGGCUAACUCCGUGCCAGCAGCCGCGGUAAUACGGAGGGUGCAAGCGUUAAUCGGAAUUACUGGGCGUAAAGCGCACGCAGGCGGUUUGUUAAGUCAGAUGUGAAAUCCCCGGGCUCAACCUGGGAACUGCAUCUGAUACUGGCAAGCUUGAGUCUCGUAGAGGGGGGUAGAAUUCCAGGUGUAGCGGUGAAAUGCGUAGAGAUCUGGAGGAAUACCGGUGGCGAAGGCGGCC